UCGGGUAAUAAUCCAACGUCGAUCCGGGGUCAUCUUUCGCCGACUACGGUAAGAAAGUUUCUUUUAAUAAGACUAAUAGCCCCGGGGAGCAUUAAAAUUACUCCUUUGGAAUGGAAAGAGAGACUUGAACGAUGUUUUACAGUCAAAACCCUUCUUUUGAAGGAAAAUCCUUCCAUGCAAUACACGGAUAUUGAGGUGGGCAUUUUUUCUCCAAAUGCUUCCAAACACAUAGCGGAGAAACACCUGAAGUUGGUGUUGCCCGAAUUCCCUAAUCCAAACAUUUCCUUCAAAAGGGGGUGGGGGGC
rnacentral:lncRNA from 1 species